AUGGCUCAGGAUGAACGCUGGCGGCGUGCCUAACACAUGCAAGUCGAACGGAGUAAUUAAGCGGAAGUUUUCGGAUGGAAGCAUAGUUACUUAGUGGCGGACGGGUGAGUAACGCGUGGGCAACCUGCCCUGUACCGGGGGAUAACACUUAGAAAUAGGUGCUAAUACCGCAUAAGCGCACAGCUUCGCAUGAAGGUGUGUGAAAAACUCCGGUGGUACAGGAUGGACCCGCGUCUGAUUAGCUAGUUGGUGGGGUAGAGGCCUACCAAGGCGACGAUCAGUAGCCGGCCUGAGAGGGUGACCGGCCACAUUGGGACUGAGACACGGCCCAAACUCCUACGGGAGGCAGCAGUGGGGAAUAUUGCACAAUGGGGGAAACCCUGAUGCAAGCGACGCCGCGUGAGUGAAGAAGUAUUUCGGUAUGUAAAGCUCUAUCAGCAGGGAAGAAAAUGACGGUACCUGACUAAGAAGCCCCGGCUAACUACGUGCCAGCAGCCGC
rnacentral:rRNA from 1 species